ACGCAUGCCGGGAGUUGUAGUUUUCGGUGCCCCUGAGGUGGGCAGGAGCCGAAGCCUGGGUGCCGCCUGCCCUCCUGCCUUCAUUUCCCAUCGUGCUGAGGCGGGUGGUAUGGCGGAGAAGGAUGACACCGGAGUUUGACGAAGAGGUGGUUUUUGAGAAUUCUCCACUUUACCAGUACCUACAGGAUUUGGGACACACAGAUUUUGAAAUAUGUUCUUCUUUGUCACCAAAAACAGAAACAUGCUUGACAACAGAGGAACCUCAGACGCCUCCCACCAGAGUCCUACAGAAACAAGGCAUCCUGUUGAAACUGACAGAAACCAUCAAGAGUUGGACUCUUUCCUCUCAGUACAGUAAGAAAGAUGACUUACUCCACAAGCUGGACACCGGGUUUCGACUGGACGCACUGGACGCCAUCCUGCAACAGGAAGUCCUGCUCCAAGAGGAUGUGGAGCUGAUUGAGCUGCUUGAUCCCAGCAUCCUGUCUGCAGGGCACCCGCAACAGGAAAAUGGACACCUUCCAACACUCUGCUCCCUGGCAACCCCUAACAUUUGGGAUGUCUCCAUGCUGUUUGCCUUCAUUAGUCUGCUCAUCAUGCUUCCCACGUGGUGGAUUGUGUCUUCCUGGCUGGUAUGGGGAAUAAUUCUAUUUCUUUACUUGAUCAUACGAGUCUUGAAAUUCUGGAGGACAGCCAAACUGCAAAUGACUCUGAAAAAAUACAGGGUCCGUUUGGAAGACAUGGCAGCCAAUAGCCGAGCCUUCACCAACCUUGUGAGAAAGUCGCUCCGUCUCAUCCAAGAAACCGAAGUCAUUUCCAGGGGAUUUACUCUUUUGCUUGACAGGGUCAGUGCUGCUUGCUCAUUUAAUAAGGCUGCACAGCAUCCCAGCCAGCAUCUCAUCGGCCUUCGGAAAGCCGUCUACAGGACCGUACGAGCCAACUUUCAAGCCGCAAGGCUAGCUACCCUGUACAUGCUGAAAAACUACCCCCUGAACUCUGAGAGUGACAAUGUCACCAACUACAUCUGUGUGGUACCUUUUAAGGAGCUGGGGCUCGGACUCAGUGAAGACCAGAUAUCAGAAGAGGAAGCCCGGAACCUGACGGAUGGCUUCAGCCUGCCAGCCUUGAAGGUUUUGUUCCAACUCUGGGUGGCACAGAGUUCAGAGUUCUUCAGACGCCUAGCUCUGCUACUUUCCACAGCAAAUUCGCCUUCUGGGCCCUUACUGACUGCUGCACUCUUGCCUCAUCGUAUUCUCUCUGAUGUGACUCAAGGUCUACCUCAUGCUCACACUGCCUGCUUGGACGAGCUAAAGCGCAGCUAUGAGUUCUUUCGGUACUUUGAAACUCAGCACCAGUCAGUCCCUCAGCGCUUACCCAAAACCCAGCCGAAGUGGAGAGAGCUGAACAACGUCCACACGGCAGUGCGCAGCUUACAGCUCCAUCUGAAAGCGCUGCUGAAUGAAGUAAUAAUUCUUGAAGAUGAACUUGAGAAGCUCGUUUGUACUAAAGAAACCCAAGAGCUGCUGUCAGAGGCUUAUCCAGUCCUAGAGCAGAGAUUAAAGCUAAUCGAGCCACAUGUUCAGGCCAGCAACAGCUGCUGGGAAGAAGCCAUCUCCCAAGUGGACAGACUGCUCCGGAGGAAUACAGAUCAAAAAGGCAAGCCUGGAGUAGCGUGUGAGAACCCACACUGCACCGCGGCGCCCUUGUUGCGGCCGACGCUACACAUUGAGGACAGAGACCCCAUCCCUGAGGAGCAGGAAUUAGAAGCUUAUGUGGAUGGCAUAGACAUAGAAAGUGAGUUCCGAAAGGACAGUUUGUAUCACGUGUCGCAGGAAGACAGAGAGAGACAGAAGCGUGAGCAGGAGGAGUCCAAGAGGGUGCUGCAGGAGCUAAAGUCUGUGCUGGGAUUUAAAGCUUCAGAGGCCGAAAGGCAGAAAUGGAAGCAACUUCUGUUCAGUGACCACGAAGGCUUGGGUUAUGCUGAUGACUGAACUCUGCCUUCGGCUGGCUGAACAUGGCUGAACAUGCUCUUUCUGCUGAGCUACACCCCAGCACCGGCUCAUCUUUCAUGGCUCUCCGUGAAUCAGCUGUUGAGAGCUCAUGUAAGGCACAGACCUACUGAGAUGGCUGACGAGUACGGAACUACAGCACAUCCUGUGUCCUGCUUCUUAUACGUACGCUCUAGGCACUGUGCUCAGGUCCUCAAGCUUGCAGAGCAAGCACUUUGCUGACUGGGCCACCUCCCCACCCCCUACCCCCAAAACUCAUUAAUUAAGGAAUUUUUCUUCCCUUGAUUUCAAGUAAUUCAAUUUUCCAUUAAGAGAUCGCUCACUCCAUGACAUAUUUUCUUACAUACUGCUCUCUGUGCUACUAGGAUAGCCACUCCAGGAGGACAGGAGAUUUUUGUGAGCGACUGUGUGUGGCACUCACUAGGAUAGCCAUACGAUAAUACUUAGGCCACUCUGUCUAAAACAUUUCCAUGGCCCUCAUUGCUCUUAGAUCAAACCCAUGAUUCUUCCUCUUCCCCUUCUUCCUCAUCUUCCCUCUCUCCCUUCUUCCUUCUCUUGACGGACGGGGCUUGCAAGGCCAGAGGACCAGUGCAGAGCACUGAACAAUGCCAGAAUCCAGGAAAGAACUCACUCAGGAUUGUUCUCUUGUGUAUUCUGACCUCCACGGGAUCCAGAUCAAAAGAGCCAAUUUACCGAUUUGUAUUCCAUCUGUCCUUCCUCCUGGACCUGUUUCUCAUUUGGUUGUAGUGAAAAGAUGAAAUUCUAAGACCCUGUAAUUCUUCAGUUCAACAGUCCAUGCAACCUAUUACUGAAACCAUCCCUAGAAGCUCAACAAUCUAAGCUGGUAUAUAUUUGAUUUGGGGGAAAAAAGAUAUUUAUAUGUGAACUAGCAUGAAGUAUGCAUUUAGUCUGAAAUUGAGUUCCUCAACUAUUUGCUAAAAAUAGCAAAGGACUUUCUGGUGAUACAGGAAGGGUUACUGUAAUGGUUCCAAAGACUGUCAGCUGACAUCCUCGAUAUCAUGAAUAUUACCACCGAGAGACUGUGCUGGGUAAAAUACAUUUGUAUAUGGUUCAUUUUACUCAUCAGCAACCAACCUUGAGAUAAUUAAUCUUAGUAGCAGCUGCCACUCCCCCUUCCAUUUUCUCUCCUCCUCCUCUUCCUCUUCCCCUCCUCUUUCUCCUUUCCCUCCUCCUCCUUCCCCUCCUCCUCUUUAUCCCCCUUCCCCCUUCCUCCUCCUCAUCUUCCUCUUUUUCCUCCUCUUUCCUCAUUGACUCUGUGUUGCCCAGGCUGGUCUCACACCCCUGGGCUCAGUCAGUCUCCCCCUCGUCGCUCAGUAGCCAGACUGCUGACAUUCACCAGGAUGCCAAGAAACUUCAAGCUUCAUUCAGUAGCUUCUCUAGACUCUAAGUGGUACCUACGUUUAUCUUUUUUAGCCACUAUAUCCAGAUAUUUUGUUUGAACCUUUCCCCAAAGCCCUGUAUCUUAAGCCUGGCCGCUAUAAUUCAUUCUUCUUCCUCUUUCUCUCCUUCCUUUUUCCUUUCUCUUCCUUCCUUCUCUUUUCCCUUUUUUUAAAAACAUCAACUCACUUUCUUUGACCUAGACUGGCCUGGAACUCAGAGCAAUACUGUUACCACAGUUUCUCAAGUGCUGGGAUUGUAGGCCCAAAUCAUCCCACCCUCUUCCGACAUUCUAAAAGGCAUGGUAAAGGUCACUCCCCCUACCCCCUAUUUGCCUGAAAGAUGUAUCUUUUGUACACAUGGUCAACCAUCAGACAAAAAUUCAACAGGCCUUAAUAAGGCUACAUGUCUGCCCUCAGAAUGAAGGAGUGAAUUGGCCUGAGGCAAUCUGACUCCAUGACAGACUGCAGACUAGCAGCUCAGGAGACCAGGCCUGAGUUUCUACUUCCCAGAACGGGGCAAGUCAGUUACCAGAACAACCACAGGCUUAUGUAAAAGAGACCUUCCCCAGCUUGUAAGAGGACAGUUAGCCAAACUUUCGACCAAGAGGUCCCAUGAAGCAAGAAGAGAUAGUCUGAAUCAGAGCAUCACCAAAACUCAGAGAGAUAGAAUCCACCAAUCAAAAUAUAGAUCUCCCAUGCCUCCACAGCGUUCCUCUUUUUGACUUUAAAACUGAAUCUGUGAAUUCAGUGGGGGUCCUUUCACCCCGAUAGAAUUGGACCCCUGCAUGCAGAAAUAAACGUUCUUUGCUUUUGCAUACUA